rnacentral:rRNA from 1 species
CCCGCUGAACUUAAGCAUAUCAAUAAGCGGAGGAAAAGAAACUAACAAGGAUUCCCCUAGUAACUGCGAGUGAAGCGGGAAAAGCUCAAAUUUAAAAUCUGGCGGUCCCAUGGGCCGUCCGAGUUGUAAUCUGGAGAAGCGUUUUCCGCGUCGGACCGUGUACAAGUCUUCUGGAACGGAGCGUCAUAGAGGGUGAGAAUCCCGUCUUUGGCAUGGAUGCACCAGGGCUUCUGUGAUGCGCUCUCAAAGAGUCGAGUUGUUUGGGAAUGCAGCUCAAAAUGGGUGGUGAACUCCAUCUAAAGCUAAAUAUUGGCGAGAGACCGAUAGCGAACAAGUACCGUGAGGGAAAGAUGAAAAGCACUUUGGAAAGAGAGUGAAACAGUACGUGAAAUUGUUGAAAGGGAAACGCUUGAAGUCAGUCGCGUCGACCGAGACUCAGCCUCGCCUUGGCUUGGUGUACUUCUCGGCUGACGGGUCAGUGUCAAUUUUGGGCCUCGGAUAAUGACAAGGGAAAGGUGGCACCUUUAUAGGUGUGUUAUAGUCUCCUGUCGGAUGCGAGGGUCGGGAUUGAGGAACUCAGCACGCGCCUUUUGGUGUCGGGGCUUCGGCCUACGCUACGUGCUUAGGAUGCUGGCAUAAUGGCUUUAAACGACCCGUCUUGAAACACGG